UUGAACGCUGGCGGCAGGCCUAACACAUGCAAGUCGAGCGGUAACACAGAGAGCUUGCUCUCGGGUGACGAGCGGCGGACGGGUGAGUAAUGUCUGGGAAACUGCCUGAUGGAGGGGGAUAACUACUGGAAACGGUAGCUAAUACCGCAUAACGUCGCAAGACCAAAGUGGGGGACCUUCGGGCCUCAUGCCAUCAGAUGUGCCCAGAUGGGAUUAGCUAGUAGGUGGGGUAACGGCUCACCUAGGCGACGAUCCCUAGCUGGUCUGAGAGGAUGACCAGCCACACUGGAACUGAGACACGGUCCAGACUCCUACGGGAGGCAGCAGUGGGGAAUAUUGCACAAUGGGCGCAAGCCUGAUGCAGCCAUGCCGCGUGUGUGAAGAAGGCCUUCGGGUUGUAAAGCACUUUCAGCGGGGAGGAAGGCGGUGAGGUUAAUAACCUCAUCGAUUGACGUUACCCGCAGAAGAAGCACCGGCUAACUCCGUGCCAGCAGCCGCGGUAAUACGGAGGGUGCAAGCGUUAAUCGGAAUUACUGGGCGUAAAGCGCACGCAGGCGGUCUGUCAAGUCGGAUGUGAAAUCCCCGGGCUCAACCUGGGAACUGCAUUCGAAACUGGCAGGCUAGAGUCUUGUAGAGGGGGGUAGAAUUCCAGGUGUAGCGGUGAAAUGCGUAGAGAUCUGGAGGAAUACCGGUGGCGAAGGCGGCCCCCUGGACAAAGACUGACGCUCAGGUGCGAAAGCGUGGGGAGCAAACAGGAUUAGAUACCCUGGUAGUCCACGCCGUAAACGAUGUCGAUUUGGAGGUUGUGCCCUUGAGGCGUGGCUUCCGGAGCUAACGCGUUAAAUCGACCGCCUGGGGAGUACGGCCGCAAGGUUAAAACUCAAAUGAAUUGACGGGGGCCCGCACAAGCGGUGGAGCAUGUGGUUUAAUUCGAUGCAACGCGAAGAACCUUACCUGGUCUUGACAUCCACAGAACUUUCCAGAGGUGGAUUGGUGCCUUCGGGAACUGUGAGACAGGUGCUGCAUGGCUGUCGUCAGCUCGUGUUGUGAAAUGUUGGGUUAAGUCCCGCAACGAGCGCAACCCUUAUCCUUUGUUGCCAGCGGUUCGGCCGGGAACUCAAAGGAGACUGCCAGUGAUAAACUGGAGGAAGGUGGGGAUGACGUCAAGUCAUCAUGGCCCUUACGACCAGGGCUACACACGUGCUACAAUGGCAUAUACAAAGAGAAGCGACCUCGCGAGAGCAAGCGGACCUCAUAAAGUAUGUCGUAGUCCGGAUUGGAGUCUGCAACUCGACUCCAUGAAGUCGGAAUCGCUAGUAAUCGUAGAUCAGAAUGCUACGGUGAAUACGUUCCCGGGCCUUGUACACACCGCCCGUCACACCAUGGGAGUGGGUUGCAAAAGAAGUAGGUAGCUUAACCUUCGGGAGGGCGCUUACCACUUUGUGAUUCAUGACUGGGGUG
rnacentral:rRNA from 1 species